GAUGAACGCUGGCGGCGUGCUUAACACAUGCAAGUCGAACGGUGAAGCAGAGCUUGCUCUGUGGAUCAGUGGCGAACGGGUGAGUAACACGUGAGCAACCUGCCCCUGACUCUGGGAUAAGCGCUGGAAACGGCGUCUAAUACUGGAUAUGAGCUGCGACCGCAUGGUCAGCAGUUGGAAAGAUUUUUCGGUCUGGGAUGGGCUCACGGCCUAUCAGCUUGUUGGUGAGGUAAUGGCUCACCAAGGCGUCGACGGGUAGCCGGCCUGAGAGGGUAACCGGCCACACUGGGACUGAGACGCGGCCCAGACUCCUACGGGAGGGAACGGUGGGGAAUAUUGCACAAUGGGCGAAAGCCUAGUGCAGCAACGCCGCGUGAGGGAUGACGGCCAUCGGGUUGUAAACCUCUUUUAGCAGGGAAGAAGCGAAAGUGACGGUACCUGCAGAAAAAGCGCCGGCUAACUACGUG
rnacentral:rRNA from 1 species